UUAUUAUCAUUAUCAUUAUUAUUAUUUAUUACAUUUUUAUUAUUAUUACCCUUUUAUUUUAUUUUAUAUUUUUCUCUUAUUUAUUUGCUUAUUUUCAAACUUUUCUCUUAUCUUAUUAUUUAAAAUUUUUAUUAAUUUUCAUUUAUUCACUUAUUGUCUCUUAUUAGCCUUUUAUACACUUAUCUAUUUUAUUGAUUAUUCUUUUCGCUCUUGCUAUUGUUGUUUAUAUCAUCGCGUUUAUUACCCUAUUAUGCAUAUGUAUACUACGAAUUUGUGUUACAUUAACCCUUACCUAAAUGCGUAAAAAAGGAAUUUUCAAAAAUAAGGGAAUGUUUCAAAUUUUGGAAAUAUGAGAAAAUCAUACCCUAACUUACGGGGUUUCAAUUUUUCUCAUUAAACCUAAAUAGCCAAAUAUCCUUUCAAAUUUCAAAAUAUAUGAAUUUUAAAUAAAAAUAAAGGCAAUAUUUCAUGUUUGGGAAUUCGAGAUAUCAUGCCCUAAUGUAUUGGGUUUCGAUUUUUCUUGUUUGACCCAAAUGAUCGAAUAUCAUUUUAAAUUAAAACGCAUGAAUUUUGAAAAUCAAAAGACAAGCUUAUUCUCGAGAGUUUAAAAUGUCGUGUCCUAACGUACUAGAUGUGACAUUUUAUUACUUCGGGACAAGAAGGUCUUUAACAUCCCUUUCGAUUUAUCCAAGCAUUUUUGUUUAACUAACAUUAAUAAAAAGAGAGUAUCGUAUUUUAAAUUCUUUUCGAGUUUUCAACUUUCGACGUUUAGACAUUGAUUAAUCAAUUAGGUACCAAUUUUGGGCGUUACGAGGGUGCUAAUCCUUCCUCGUACGUAAGCGACUCCCGAACUUGUUUUCUCAAAUUUUGUAGACCAAAAUUGUUAUUUUAGUAAAUCAAAAUGUUUUAUUAAAACGAUCGAUCAUGAGGUGACCUGAUCACACCUCAUCAAAAAAGAUUGGUGGUGACUCCCUUUUCAUUUUCAAAAUAAAAUGUCGACCUCGUUUUUCAAACACAAAACAAAGAGGUUUCGACAGCUUGGCGACUCUGCUGGGGAAUACUAAUAAGAGAGUCAAGCCAUAAUUUGAUUAAUUUUUGUCUUUUCAUCGAAAAUUGAAAAUUCGGUUUAAAAUACGAUCCUUUCACUACAUUUCAUCCCUCAUUUUUGUGGUCUUGGUCAAAACAUUUGUUUUAUUGGUUCGAGUCUUUAGAUGUAUUCGCAUAUUGCAUUGCAUGAUCGUUCGAUCUACCCUUUUAAGUGGGAGUGAGAAACUAUUCCUUCGUGAGGUCUUCGCUUUCGUGUAGGAUAGUGGAUCGCUUUCGGGAUACAUCCGUACCUAUUUCUUCGUGAGAUUUUCAUCUCUAUAUAGCCAUAGGGAAAUGUAUUCCCCUGAACUGAACUCGGUCCGUAUAAGCUUAUAAUAGGUGAGGAUCGAGGAAUCUGCUAGUUCAGAUACCUUUUUCUUUAAAACCAAACCACAUAUAGUGAGCCUUAGGAGCCCACCCUAGGUAGAACCACCAACCCCUAGAGGUCAUCCGAAUAGGUGCUCUAUUUGUUGUUUAUUUCUUCUGUACUAACGUGUUUUGUUUUGUUUAUGAUUGCAUUGCAUUGCAUCGUCAUAGAAAAGAGGUGUUGAUUCAUGUUUAGUUGCUAAAUAGAGAGCUUGUCAUGAAAAAUAGAUUUCUUGAUAAAGUGGAAUAUAAUACGGUCGUCCGAAUAUGGUCCGAGUAAACACAACGAGAGAAGGCUGAUAGUCUGUAGCGGAAUAUAUGACUAUGUUUCACUGCCCGAGGAUUCAAGCUGACAAAGAUUAUUCGAGAGUCGUCAACAUUUUUAAAGAAGCUAACAAGCCUUACGGGGAUGCGUGAGCAAUGGAUCACAGCCUGGAUCAAAGCAAAAAAGAGCUAGUAGAGGCGUCCAUUGGGAAGUUCGUGAGAUUUGAUCUUAACAUCCGGAUAUGAAGGGAUCGAUGACUUCGCCUAGAGUAUGAGGGCAAGGCCGUAUAUAUUUCCGCUUUAUGUAAAGAGAUUUGUUAUUUAGAAAAUUUGUUCUAACAGAAUUGAAUCAGAAUCAACGUCUCUUUUUGCACUCAUUUCAUGCAUCUGCAUUGCAUUUCAUCAUAUGCAUUAAAUGUCACAAAUGAGCCUUAAUUAGUUAAAAACUAUUUCAGUUAAUCUGGAAACCGACAAAAACCUACCAAGCACUCAUCGUUACGGAACUUGAAGAAAAACUAAAGUGAUGGAUAAAAGACUAGAAAGGUUGGAACAAAUGCAGAAGGAGAUGCAAGAACAGAUGCAAGCACAAAUGCAAGAGCAAUUGGCUAAAAUCCAGCAGGAUAUGAGGGACCAAAUGCUGGAAUCACAAAGAAACAUGAUGAACCAGCUAACACAACUAUUGACCAGUGGGCCAGACAAAGGAAAGGGUCCUAUGGUCAAUAUUGGGGAUGAUAAUGAAGAUCCUCUCUACCCCCUUGGUUUCACCCCGACAAAUGCUUAAACGCAACCCGAGAUGUACACGCGAAGGCCAUCCGUUACAAUUAGGCCCCAACAAUUUCAGGCCGGUGCCUCGACGCCAAUCAACUAUCAAGCAGGCUCAGGCUUUAAUCCAGGGGACAACCCAAUUAAUUCUGUAGUCCCUGAUCUGGAUGAAAUGGUAGAAGCCGGAAGAGCGAGAGUGGAGCUCCCUAAACAAUUAGAAAACCGAUGCAGGUGGUUAAAGGAGAAGUUCAAAGCGAUGGAGAGUGUUAACUAUCACUAUGGGAUAGAUGCUAAAGAUUUGAGCUUGGUUCUAGACCUUGUACUUCCCCCCAAGCUCAAGACUCUUGAGUUCGAGAAGUAUAACAGGACUAGCUGCCCUGAAGCUCAUAUUACCAUGUUUUGUAGACGGAUGACUGGGCACGUCAACAAUGAUCAGCUAUUGAUCCACUACUUCCAAGACAGUCUGGUUGGGGCAGCAUCCAAAUGGUACAACCAAUUGAGCCGUACUAAGAUCAACUCAUGGAAAGACCUAGCUUAAGCUUUCAUGAAACAGUGUAGUCACGUCACGGAUAUGACCCCGGACAGGAUUAUCUUGCAGAACAUGGAAAAGAAACCGAAUGAGAGCUUUCGAUAAUACGCCUAAAGGUGGAGGGAGGUUGCAAUACAAGUCCAGCGACCUCUCCUAGAAAAAGGGACCACCAUGCUAUUCAUCAAUACUUUAAACGCUCCAUUCAUCACUCAUAAGUUAGGGAGCGCCACUAAAAGCUUCUCAAAUAUAGUGAUGACUGGCGAAAUGAUUGAGAACGCGAUAAGAAGAUGCAAAAUAGAGACAAGGGAUAGUACCAAGAGGUUAGCCCCAAGGAAAAGGGAGAAUGAGGUGAACAACCUGAGCACAUAUAGCAAAGGUCAUUCCAAGUCACUUACUGUAAACCAACUGAAGACGGUAACUGUUAACCACCAGAACACCCCAAGAUAAGAAGCCGAUACAAAGACAAAUACUGAAAGGAUACGGUUCACACCUAUACCUAUGAUGUAUAGGGAGCUAUAUCAAAACCUAUUCGAUGCGCAUGUGGUGUCCCCUUUUUACCUAGAACCAAUCAACCUCCUUUUCCCAAAUGGUACGACGCAAAUGCUCAGUGCGAGUACCAUACUUUUUAAAAAAAUAUUAAAUUAAUUUAUUUGAUAAGAAAAAAAAUUUUAUUCAAGAAGAAUUGUUACUUUUUUACGUUUGAAAAAAAGCGUUCGGAUUCUAAUAUUAUCGAUUACAACUACAGUGGCCCAAACCAAAAAACAAACGGAUUAGCAUGCCUAUCUCCCAUUGGGGGAGGUUGUACCACCGCAAGGGCCCCAAAAUUAGGUAAUAGAUGUCGAGAAAGACGAGCCAAUCCAUCAUGCAUGAUCACAUCAAAACCUCAAUCUCUUCUGUUUCGACAGCAAACCAAUGAGGCAGCGAGUACAAGUGACUCUAGAAGCAUUCCAAACAAAAAAACUCGAAUAGCAGAAGAAAAUGCCCCCAAAAGGAUUCUUGGGUCCCUUUAAUUUGGUGUAAUUUCUUAUAAGACCCUUGAAAUAUUAUAAAAUCCUAUUAAGAAAUAAGAAAAAUUUAUAUUCGCAACCUAAUUUUUUACUUAUCUUAAACUACAUUGUAAAGUGUGUAAUUGGAAGUUUGCUAUUAUAAUUUUGUAAACAAUUUUUGUAACACCUUCUACCCGUAUCCGUUGCCGGAAUAGGGUACGAGACAUUACCAGAGUUUACUGAGCAUUUUCAGAUAAUUCUGAAUAAUUUAUUAUUCAUAUUCUGAAAAUAAUCAUAAUGUCCCUCUAUUGGGCCCUUAAAGCCCAAAACAUAAAUUUAAACAAUCAAUUCACAUUCAUGUCACAUAAAUGUAUAAUUUAAACAUUCAAUAACUCAAUUCAAGUUGCACGAACUUACUUCAUUGCUUAUUCGUAUUUAUAGUUUUACUAAUCCGAAAACUUUUUCUUUUUUCACGUUCAAGUCUCAUAUUUGAGCCACCCAAAUCUUUAUAAAUAAAUUUGAUCAUCAUUUUUAUUUAUUUCAUAUUCUAAUACAUUCAAUUAAUCUCUAGGAAAAAUUACCAUUUUACCCCUAAACUUUUGAUUAAUGACGAUUUCAUCCUUAGACAAAGAAAAAUAAAGUUCUUGUAAUUAAAUCCUUGUUUCAAACCUAAUUAUUCUUAUAUAUAUUGAUAAAACCCCAUAAAUUCUAUAAAAUAACAAAAUUUUCCACAAUUUCAACACUUUUUAAUUUAAUCCCUAAAACAUGUUUUCACCCGAUCUUGAUCUAAAUUAAUAGUUUCAUUCAAUUUUAUAAUUUAAAUAAUAAAAUAAUUCAUUUCCUUCAUUUUGUCAUUUUUGACAUUUUUAAAAAAUUGCCCCUAUAGUUUUUCUUUUAUUCAAUUUAGUCCCUGAGUCUAAAACAUACAAAUUAUCCAUUUUAAAUGUAAACCUAUUAAGGGUGGCAACAAACAACAGUAUGUAUGUUACCCGGAUGAAAUAUGAAAUACUUCUCUAAAUUUUUCAUCCCAUUUGCUUCUGUUCGUUUGUUUACAACUCCUAAGUCUUUGAAUCUCAAACUUACUUCAUACUUCAUCCGGAAUUAUUACCUUGUUGCUCUAACUUCAACAAGAGCUUCAUAUUUCAUCCGGAAUAAUUUCUUUGUUGCUCUAGCUUUAACAAGAGCUUCAUAUUUUAUCCGGAUAACUUAGUUAUGUUUUUCUUCCUGUGUGAAAAACCCAACAAAACCUUUGCUAGCUGAAAAUUCAUAUAUUUAUUUUCCUCCUCCUCCUCUCCAUUCCACAUCCUAAAUGUAUAUAGCAUUCUUAUAAGUAACAUUAUCUAUGAUCUCACUAUUUACUUAUAAAUUUUUUUAAAGCUUUCCAUUCGUGUCAUAGUCACUAAAUUAUUUUUAAUUUGAGCUACAGAGAUCCAAAUUAAGAUCUGUGAAUUUUCCCUGAAACUUGACUCACAUAUCUUUCCACCAUAAAAUUUUCAUAAUUUUUGGUUUAGCCAAUUAGUACAGUUUAUUCAUUAAAUUUUCCCCUGUUUCACUAUCCGAUAGUUCUGACCUCUCUUCACUUAAAAUUAAUUAUCUCACAAUACAGAACUCGGAUAAUGUUCUAAUUGGUUUAUCUUGAAAAUAGACUCAUUAAGGAUUCUAAAAAUAUAAUUUUGAGCCCUAAUUAUUUUUCUCCAAAUUUUUGUGAUUUUCCAAAGUCAGAAUAGGGGAACCCGAAUUCAUUCUGACCUUAUCUCACAAAAUUUAUUAUAUCUCAUAACUUACAAUUCAAUUGCUUACACCGUUUCUUCUAUAAUAAACUAGACUCAAUAAUCUUUAAUUCAAUAUUUUUUUCAUCCUCUGAUUAAAUUUCUACAAUUUAUGGUGAUUUUUCAAAGUUAACCUACUGCUGCUGUCCAGAACUGUUUUAGUUCAAGAUGUUUAUUACCAUUUUUCCUCUAAAUUUCACUGGUCAUACAAUUCAGUCCUUGCUCAAUUAGCCUAUCACUUAAGCUAAUUUUUAUCAAUUAACAUUUUAUUCCAUCAUUAUAAACUAUUACACAACCUUUAAAAAUCAUAAUUUCAACACUAAACCUUAAUUCACAACUUUUUCACAAUUAGGUUCUAAAAUCAAUUUCUAUUGAAAUUACUUGAUAAAAUCAUCAAACAACAAAGUAAAAGCUUCAAAUCUAUUUUAGUUCAUCAUAAACAGCCAACACUUAUCAAUGGUAGCUUUCAAUUUUGUCCAUAAAAUCAAAAACUAAUGAAUUAAACACUUGGACCUAAUUGUAAAAGUCACAAAAACAUAAAAAUCUCAAAGAAAGGGCAAGAAUUGAACUCACAUAUGUUAAACUAUGAAAAACAGCAACUUUCAGACCUCCCAUGGCGUUUUUGC
rnacentral:lncRNA from 1 species